CGAGGUGAGACCCUGCCAUGUGCAGAGGCCAGAAGUGGGAGAGAUGAGGAAUUGGUGCUGUCCUUGCUGACGUAUGAACGGGUGACCCACUGUCCCAUUUUGCCUGGGACUGUCCCAGUUUUAGCACCAAGAGGAUAUCAUCGCAGAUGUGGCAGGUGGAAUUCUAGGAUGACUCCCAAAAUUCCAUGCUGUGCAUGCCACUUCACCCAGUUAUUCAAUCAAGCAUUAAAUCUAGGUGUUGAUGUGAAGGGAUUUUGCAGGUGUAAAUAAAUUGACUUGAAGACAGGAAGAUCAGCUGGCCUUACCAGGAGAUGCGAAACCCUAGGGGGUGCACUGAGGCUUUGAAGACGGUGGAGGUGAGCUGGCAAGGAGGCUGAGGAACUUCUGGGAAUUGAGGGGUCUCCUGCUGACAGCAGGCAAAGAACUGGGAAUUUCAGCCCUACACUGUCAGAAACUGAACUCAGCCAACAAUGUGAAUGAGUUCCAGAACGGAUUUUUACCCAGAGUCCCCAGAACUCAGUCGGCAGACAUCUGAAUCUCAGCUUUUGAGACUGAGGAGGGAAUCCCGCCAUGCCCCAGUGUGGGUAUUGCUCCAAGUGGCUGAGUUAGUGGGAACUAGCUAUGCUGCAAUAGAAGUAUAAUAAAGAAGAGGAAAUGCUUCAGUGUCAGGUGAGCAGAACACACACAUCUCCUCUGAGAGCUAAAACUGAGAUAAGUCACAUCCUUUGGAUCCAUUCAUCAGCAUUCAUGAAUGGACUGCUGUGUAACAGCUGCUCUGGGGGAUAUAACCAAGUGUCCCCCUCACCCCGCAGUGUCUCAGGGGCUCUCCCUGUUGUCUCUUGGUGUGGGCCUGCCUCAAAGCUUGGUGGUCUCAGGACAUGCUGUUUUCAGCUCAAGUUCUCAGAGGAGUGCCCGGGAAAGAGUUCAGUGACUCUUGGAGGCAUGGACAAUAUUCCCACAGGAGGAGAGGGGAAGAAGCACUUCAAGCGGAGAGGAGAGAAUGAGCAAAAGAAGGAAAGCACAUUCAGAAAAUACAGUUUAAUGAUGAGGCCGACCUCUCCUGUCUCGCCUACUGCUCCCCUCAGCGGUGACUUCGGUCCUUCUGCCUGUUCUGCUCCCUGCUCUGGCUCUGGUGAAUUCUCUCACCCUCCCACGCCUCUGGCCUGUACUCCAGUGCUUGAAUAAAUAAAUAAAUAUGU